rnacentral:rRNA from 1 species
GACAGAGGGGGCAAGCGUUGCUCGGAAUUACUGGGCGUAAAGGGCGCGUAGGCGGGAUGGCAAGUCGGUCGUGAAAUCCUUCGGCUCAACCGAAGAACGUCGAUCGAUACUGCUGUUCUUGAGGGUUGCAGAGGAGACUGGAAUUCCCGGUGUAGCGGUGAAAUGUGUAGAGAUCGGGAGGAACGACCGGUGGCGAAGGCGGGUCUCUGGGCAAUUCCUGACGCUGAGGCGCGAAAGCGUGGGGAGCAAACGGG